rnacentral:rRNA from 1 species
AGAGUUUGAUCCUGGCUCAGGAUGAACGCUGGCGGCGUGCCUAACACAUGCAAGUCGAACGCUCGCAAGAGAGUGGCGCACGGGUGAGGAACACGUAGCUGACCUGCCUUCGGGAGUGGGAUAACGCUUCGAAAGAGGCGCUAAUACCGCAUAAUGUGGGGGACUUUAGAGGUCUUUCACCAAAGGAUUUAUCGCCCGAAGAGGGGGCUGCCACCCAUCAGGUAGUUGGGGAGGUAAUGGCUUCCCAAGCCGGCGACGGGUCGGGGGUCUGAGAGGGCCACCCCCCACACUGGGACUGAGACACGGCCCACACUCCUACGGGAGGCAGCAGUGAGGGAUAUUGCACAAUGGGGGAAACCCUGAUGCAGCGACGCCGCGUGGGCGAUGAAGGUCUUCGGAUUGUAAAGCCCUUUUCUAGGUGACGAGAACGGACGGUAGCCUAGGAAGAAGUCUCGGCUAACUACGUGCCAGCAGCCGCGGUAAAACGUAGGAGGCAAGCGUUAUCCGGAGUUACUGGGCGUAAAGGGCGUGUAGGCGGUGCGAUAAGUGGAUGGUGAAAGGUCUCGGCUCAACCGGGGAAACGCCGUUCAGACUGUCGGACUAGAGACAGCUAGAGGGACGCGGAAUUCGGGGUGUAGCGGUGAAAUGUGUAGAGAUCCCGA